CCCUUAGAUGUUCUGGGCCGCACGCGCGCUACACUGACGAAUGCAACGAGCUUAUAACCUUGGCCGAAAGGUCUGGGUAAUCUCCAAAUUUCGUCGUGAUGGGGAUAGAUUAUUGCAAUUAUUAAUCUUCAACGAGGAAUGCCUAGUAAGCGCAAGUCAUCAGCUUGCGUUGAUUACGUCCCUGCCCUUUGUACACACCGCCCGUCGCUGCCCGGAACUGAGCCGUUUCGAGAAGACUGAGGAUUGCUGACUUGAGGCCUUCACGGGCUUCUAGUCGGUGAAAAUCAAUUUAAUCGCAGCGGCUUGAACCGGGCAAAAGUCGUAACA
rnacentral:rRNA from 1 species